rnacentral:rRNA from 1 species
UCACUUUAGGAUGAGCCCGCGGCGCAUUAGCUAGUUGGUGGGGUAAAGGCCUACCAAGGCAAUGAUGCGUAGCCGAGUUGAGAGACUGAUCGGCCACAUUGGGACUGAGACACGGCCCAAACUCCUACGGGAGGCAGCAGUAGGGAAUCUUCCACAAUGGACGAAAGUCUGAUGGAGCAACGCCGCGUGAGUGAAGAAGGUCUUCGGAUCGUAAAGCUCUGUUGUUGGUGAAGAAGGAUAGAGGCAGUAACUGGUCUUUAUUUGACGGUAAUCAACCAGAAAGUCACGGCUAACUACGUGCCAGCAGCCGCGGUAAUACGUAGGUGGCAAGCGUUGUCCGGAUUUAUUGGGCGUAAAGCGAGCGCAGGCGGAAUGAUAAGUCUGAUGUGAAAGCCCACGGCUCAACCGUGGAACUGCAUCGGAAACUGUCAUUCUUGAGUGCAGAAGAGGAGAGUGGAACUCCAUGUGUAGCGGUGGAAUGCGUAGAUAU